rnacentral:ncRNA from 1 species
UCUUAUCAAGAGAGGUGGAGGGAAAGGCCCUAUGAAACCUCGGCAACCAGUAUGUAUCAUUUGCAUAUAUGGUGCCAACUCCUGCUUUAGAUGUUUUAUCUAAAGAAAGAUGAGA